CUUUGAACUCGCUUCACCUCUCUGCACCUUGGUGUCAGGCCCUUUGGAACGGGCUGGGAAUGAAUGAUUGGCUCUCUGGAGGGAAGAUCAGGAGACAGAAGUCCCAUAAAGGAGUCCUUGUGGAGAGAAAACACAGCUGGUGCCCAAUUAGAGAGGUGAUUGGGACUGAUCCCUGGCAGAGCUCUUAAUGAAGCUGGGCGGCAAACUGCAGGAGAGACUGUGCUGGAACCGAGGUGGGCUAUGCACUGGGGGUAAAGGCCAUGGAGUGGAACAGUAAGUUUUCUUCAAAAGCUGAAAGAAGCGGUUGGAUUCUAUCUCCUGACCAUGGGGGCAGAAGGAGUGACAGACCAGCAAAGGUUGAAUAUUCAUUCAUUCACUGAUUCAUUCCUGGGGGAAAGGGGUCUGGGACCUUGUGUCUUAAGGAUGAGACCUGAAGAGUCAGCCAAGCCAGGCUAUUUUUCAUUCUCAGAGGGAAGCGAGAGGAGACCAGAGAGGAUCACAGAGGGAAGCUUCAGAGAAGCAGGGCUUCCCUUGGGGAAUCCCAUCCGUCCACUCUCCUGGCUACGUGAGCAAUUGACACACAGCUUCCCCCAACUCCAGGUGGCUUUUCCUGGAACUCCAGACAGACAGUGAUGUUUCUUCUCCCCAGACAGCAUCCUCAGCAGCCACCACUGACUCAGCCUCCCCACCCACUCCAUGGGUGGAGUAGGCAGCAGCCCAGUCCCAGGGAUUGAAGUUUAGAUGGCACCAGGGUGAGGCUGCAGACAUCUGCAGACAUAAGACCUUUGGUUUCUCCCAAACCAUGAGACAUUUGCAACCUCUGUCAUUCACCUGUCAAUUACCCCAUCUUCCAGCGCCAAACCCAAACACCUGUCAGUUCCCUCUGUGGGAGGGCAGACUUGUAAAGUCUUGGGGCAGAAC